AGUGAACGCUGGCGGUAGGCCUAACACAUGCAAGUCGAACGGCAGCACAGGAGAGCUUGCUCUCUGGGUGGCGAGUGGCGGACGGGUGAGGAAUACAUCGGAAUCUACCUUUUCGUGGGGGAUAACGUAGGGAAACUUACGCUAAUACCGCAUACGACCUACGGGUGAAAGUGGGGGACCGCAAGGCCUCACGCGAUUAGAUGAGCCGAUGUCCGAGUAGCUAGUUGGCGGGGUAAUGGCCCACCAAGGCGACGAUCGGUAGCUGGUCUGAGAGGAUGAUCAGCCACACUGGAACUGAGACACGGUCCAGACUCCUACGGGAGGCAGCAGUGGGGAAUAUUGGACAAUGGGCGCAAGCCUGAUCCAGCCAUACCGCGUGGGUGAAGAAGGCCUUCGGGUUGUAAAGCCCUUUUGUUGGGAAAGAAAUCCUGUCGAUUAAUACUCGGUGGGGAUGACGGUACCCAAAGAAUAAGCACCGGCUAACUUCGUGCCAGCAGCCGCAGUAACAC
rnacentral:rRNA from 1 species